AGCCUCACUGAAAAUUAAUUUUUCAUGUCAUGAUCAGCUUGAGUUUGUGCUUUUCCGCCCUAGACGUCUCUCCUCCCAAGGCAGUCUCUGCCCACAUUCAUGUCAUGCAGUGGCUGGCACAGAGACUAAGUAUUCAAACACAAUGUGUAUUUGUUCCCUCUAGGUUAGACGUGGCCACGGCUCUGAACUGUCAGCACUGUGACUGCCCACAUAAGAUCCUAGUGAGAUCUGCCUAAUGGCAGUUUCUUGUGGAGGCAGUAGGCAGGCUCAAGGGGAGGAAGCUCAUACAGCUUGCACAAGGUCCUCAGAAGGUUCUAGUGCUCCUUGUGGUAACAACAAAGGUAAAUGGGUGCUCAGUUUCCGUGAGGGUUCAGUGCUAUCAUGGAAGGCCCCUGUGGGUAGACCCUGAUUCUCACAGAAGCAGCAUAAAGAAAUGACUGCUGAAGCACUCAGCAAUUACAUCUCCACACACAGAAGACAGAACACCAAGAAAACAUGUCUUCAGGCAAAGUAAGAAGUUACCCAAGGUAGACCAAUCACCUUCAAAAUAAAAAUCCUUAUAAAUACAAAGUACUUCACUUAAAGACACACUUGGAAUGUGAGGACCAGGUGACAACAUCCAUUCAGCCAGACUUCAUCAACAUACCUGAGGAGGCAAACCAGACACACUGCCAUCCUGAGGACAGUGAUUCUACCUCAGAGAAACCAUCUCUGUUCAUUUCUGCAGUUUUACAUGCCCUCUUCCUUCCAAUGCUAGGAUCCCGGAACAUGUAACACCAUUCUGCCCUAGCUCUCUCAUUUGAUAUUAUUAUACACAUUCAUUAUCCUGCCCCAAUCCUGAGUGUCUCCUCCCAUCUCUGGCUCAUAUACAACUAGACCUUGGGGACUUGAAAGAGGGGCUGGAAACUCUAGGUCUUGAAAUCACUCUUAUAAUCUCACCUACGAGUAAAGAGGUUCCCAUGCAGCAAGAGCUGUGCUGCACAACCCAGAGUUGCCCUGGGCGUCCGUCAAUCAACCUCUCACACUGAGAAAGGCAACUGAUCGAGCCAAAGGAGUGGGAAGCUAAGAGGUUGGUUAGUAGGAGUCUGCAGAGUGUCGGCAAGGCACGAUCAGGAACAGCCCUUACCUGUGUGUGCCCUUUGCGGUGCUCACCGACCGCUUGCCUGAACAUUUUUCUCGGAACACAAGAAAACUAACAGUGUGUCAGUGUGGUAGAAUCUUCUAGAUGAAGAGCUACAUACGCAUACUGGGUGCCUAUCCUGCAGGACUAGGGCCCUCUGGGGUCCAUUUGUUGUUUGUGUUUCAGGUGAAACCAGUGACCUGGCAGAUGGAGCUGUUCAAGGUCUUAACUUGUAAAUGUCAGGGUUAUGGCUCUUACCAAAUCUAUUGUGUUCAUGGCCGCUUAUUUGCCAGAACUUUCCAAACCACAGGAGUCUUUCUUUAACUAUCACAUGCUUGGAUGACAAGGAGCCAGCUCCGUGGGCAGGGAAGGCCAGAUAACAUUAUCAAUGCUGUUAUUUUAAAGGCUGUUCUGAGGAAGGACCUGGGUGUUUUUACAAGAGUCUGGCAGACAUUAGCACUUGCAUUUCUGAGUCGUUUCAGAGUUUGUGCCAAAUGACGUAAUGCCCAAAUGCCUGGCACAACCUUUAUUAUAGGAGGCAGAAGUCAAGUGAAUGGGAAGACAGGAAACAUGGUUGAAGGAAGAUUGGCACAAAAAUCUAAAUCACUGGAUAAAGAACCAUUUCUUUUCAGACCUUCUUCCUUCACAUUCCCUAUUUUCUACCACAGUGAUGAUCAAAACAUUGUCUGAGUUCAAAGGAUGUGGCAAUGUCAGAAUGUCAAGCCCUAGAGCCUGAUAUGGUAGCACACGUUUAUAGCUCUCACUUCCUUGGGGUACUGAGAACAGAUGUAACAACAGGUGUUGAGUCAGGUGUAACAACAGGUGUUGAGUCAGGUGUAACAACAGGUGUUCAGUCAGGUGUAACAACAGGUGUUGAGACAGGCAACAGGUGUUGACUCCGGUGCAACAACUUCUAAGCAGAACAUUGAGGCCAGACCAGGACAACUUAGCAUGGACAUGUCUCAAAACACACAGACACAGAGAGACACACAGACACACAGACACAGAGACACACAGACACACAGACACACACACAAUCUGAGGAUAUAGAGGGGGCAGAGGAAGGACAAGGAUUCAAACUUACCUUCCUU